CUUAGUAGCGGCGAGUGAAGCGGCAAAAGCUCAAAUUUGAAAUCUGGCUCUUUCAGAGUCCGAGUUGUAAUUUGAAGAAGGUAUCUUUGGGUCUGGCUCUUGUCUAUGUUUCUUGGAACAGAACGUCACAGAGGGUGAGAAUCCCGUGCGAUGAGAUGAUCCAGGCCUAUGUAAAGUUCCUUCGAAGAGUCGAGUUGUUUGGGAAUGCAGCUCUAAGUGGGUGGUAAAUUCCAUCUAAAGCUAAAUAUUGGCGAGAGACCGAUAGCGAACAAGUACAGUGAUGGAAAGAUGAAAAGAACUUUGAAAAGAGAGUGAAAAAGUACGUGAAAUUGUUGAAAGGGAAGGGCUUGAGAUCAGACUUGGUAUUUUGUAUGUUACUUCUUCGGGGGUGGCCUCUACAGUUUAUCGGGCCAGCAUCAGUUUGGGCGGUAGGAGAAUUGCGUUGGAAUGUGGCACGGCUUCGGUUGUGUGUUAUAGCCUUCGUCGAUACUGCCAGCCUAGACUGAGGACUGCGGUUUAUACCUAGGAUGUUGGCAUAAUGAUCUUAAGUCGC
rnacentral:rRNA from 1 species